UACGUAGGGGGCAAGCGUUGUCCGGAAUCAUUGGGCGUAAAGCGCGUGUAGGCGGCCCAGUAAGUCCGCUGUGAAAGCCCAGGGCUCAACCCCUGGGAUGCCGGUGGAUACUGUUGGGCUCGAGUCCGGAAGAGGCGAGUGGAAUUCCUGGUGUAGCGGUGAAAUGCGCAGAUAUCAGGAGGACACCAUUGCGAAGGCAGCUCGCUGGGACGUUACUGAGCGUGAGAC
rnacentral:rRNA from 1 species